UCUGCAAACAGGUCACGCAACAACUUAAAAGAUAAAUCCAUAUUAAGGCUGAAAGAAGUCUGAAAUGUUGAAUGCUCACUAACGCUGUAGCUGCUAUUAUCGUACCAUCAGUCACACUGACCCUGUCCACUGUCAGUCUGGAUGAUAUCCGGAUAUUUAGCUGGACGGUUGUGGUGAAUGCCUGCUUGUAUUAGCAUGUCCUUCAAGGCAACUAAUCCCCUUGAGGGACACUGAACGUUGUGAGAAAGAGGUGAAGGUGACCAAUCACAGUUCUGCUUGUCGUCUCAGCUGCCUCACUGCCAGCCAACACUGCUUCUUCCACUCCCCUGCUCCUCCUGGUAUUCUGGCCAAGUUAAACCACAACUGUCCCACAUGCCAUGUCUGCUGGAUGUGUGAACAAAGCUUGGAGGGAGCAAGGCGAAAACGGACCUCUUAAGUGAGUCGGACCCAGUCAGGCGGGACGGCUGGAAAUGUCUUCCCCUUUGAUUCCCCGAGGAACAGAGACAGAAAACAAAUGGAGUCUGACUCCCUUAUUUUCUCAAGGUCCUGGAAGUGACCUGCCGCUGCUGUGGAACAGGGGCUGGAACGCUGAUGUUCACUGCCUGGCUGCCGAACUGUCCAGCGGUCUGUCAGCCUGGCACAAUGAAAUGGACCCCUCAACCCUCCCCGCUUUCUCAUCCACAUUCAAUCCCAGCCACAGAGCACAGUACAGCCUGCUCAGUGGCACUGCUGACAACUCAGUUGGCUUGCUCACACGGCGAUGACCCGGCACAAAUGUCAAGUGACAUAGAAAACGAUCAAGAAAGUCCACACAUGGAGGAGGAUGGUGUGGUGAUUGGAUAAAACAACUGCAAGACAAGUACAGGACCAUAAGAUGAGUGUGAAACUGAAGGAUAAAGGUCUGCAUAAAUCCUGCAGAGAAAGGAAGUGAACGUGGAGAGUUCUGCAGCAUCAGUAAUAAUGCUAUGAUGAACCAGUACAAAGAGAGUUUGUCAGGUACUCAUCUAACUAUUCUCAAAAUAAUAUCAGGAAUCAGGACUGAAGUUUUGAAGAUUCCCCAUGUUGCUACAUGUUUGCUUUUAUACACUGUUUUUCUGCAGAGGGAUGUCCUUUUGAAAAUUCAGCGAAACAUUUCAAAUGACAAAAUGUGUGCAACAAUGCGCAUAUUCUGUUUCUAAAUUACAACCACCUCCUUUAAAGAAUAUGUAAUAUCAAGAGUGAAGGACUGAAGGAUGACAUGGCGACAUGCUCAUUCUAUUGUUUUGAACCUUAUUUCAUGAAAGAUUUUAAAAGCUGUUGUGUUUAUUCCCAGUCCAAUGUUCAUGUUAAUUCAUGAUUACAUUUACACAAAUAGUGAUCCGAGUAUAGUCCCGCCAUCCAAAUGGAACUAAAUAAAGUCAA